GUGUUCCUUUCAGGAGCACAUAAACUAAGACUAGAAUCAUACAGAGUUAGCAUGGCACCUGGCUAAGGAUAACAUACAACCUGGUGAAGUAUUCCACAUUUUU
ensembl:snRNA U6 U6 spliceosomal RNA